rnacentral:rRNA from 1 species
GUGGGGAAUCUUGCGCAAUGGGCGAAAGCCUGACGCAGCCAUGCCGCGUGAAUGAUGAAGGUCUUAGGAUUGUAAAAUUCUUUCACCGGGGACGAUAAUGAUGGUACCCGGAGAAGAAGCUCCGGCUAACUUCGUGCCAGCAGCCGCGGUAAUACGAAGGGGGCUAGCGUUGCUCGGAAUUACUGGGCGUAAAGGGCGCGUAGGCGGACAGCUUAGUCAGAGGUGAAAGCCCAGGGCUCAACCUUGGAAUUGCCUUUGAUACUGGCUGUCUUGAGUUUGGGAGAGGUGAGUGGAACUCCGAGUGUAGAGGUGAAAUUCGUAGAUAUUCGGAAGAACACCAGUGGCGAAGGCGACUCACUGGCCCAAUACUGACGCUGAGGCGCGAAAGCGUGGGGAGCAAACAGGAUUAGAUACCCGUGUAGUCC